rnacentral:rRNA from 1 species
UGUGUAGGCGGCUUUCUAAGUUUGUUGUGAAAUCUCCCGGCUUAACCGGGAGGGUGCGGCGAAGACUGGAAGGCUAGAGUAUGGGAUGGGAGAGUGGAAUUCCUGGUGUAGCGGUGAAAUGCGUAGAUAUCAGGAGGAACACCUGCGGUGUAGACGGCUCUCUGGACCAUUACUGACGCUGAGACACGAAAGCGUGGGUAGCAAACAGGAUUAGAUACCCUGGUAGUCCACGCCCUAAACGAUGCAUAUUUGGUGUGGGCCAUUCAUUUGGUCUGUGCCGGAGCUAACGCGUUAAAUAUGCCGCCUGGGGAGUACAGUCGCAAGGCUGAA